rnacentral:rRNA from 1 species
UAGGGAAUCUUCCACAAUGGACGAAAGUCUGAUGGAGCAACGCCGCGUGAGUGAAGAAGGUUUUCGGAUCGUAAAGCUCUGUUGUUGGUGAAGAAGGAUAGAGGCAGUAACUGGUCUUUAUUUGACGGUAAUCAACCAGAAAGUCACGGCUAACUACGUGCCAGCAGCCGCGGUAAUACGUAGGUGGCAAGCGUUGUCCGGAUUUAUUGGGCGUAAAGCGAGCGCAGGCGGAAUGAUAAGUCUGAUGUGAAAGCCCACGGCUCAACCGUGGAACUGCAUCGGAAACUGUCAUUCUUGAGUGCAGAAGAGGAGAGUGGAACUCCAUGUGUAGCGGUGGAAUGCGUAGAUAUAUGGAAGAACACCAGUGGCGAAGGCGGCUCUCUGGUCUGCAACUGACGCUGAGGCUCGAAAGCAUGGGUAGCGAACAGGAUUAGAUACCCUGGUAGUCCAUGCCGUAAACGAUGAGCGCUAGGUGUUGGGGCACUUU